rnacentral:rRNA from 2 species
UACGUAGGGUGCGAGCGUUAAUCGGAAUUACUGGGCGUAAAGUGUGCGCAGGCGGCGUCGCAAGUCGAGUGUGAAAGCCCCGGGCUUAACUUGGGAAUUGCGCUCGAAACUACGGUGCUGGAGUGUGGCAGAGGAAGGUGGAAUUCCACGUGUAGCGGUGAAAUGCGUAGAGAUGUGGAGGAACACCGAUGGCGAAGGCAGCCUUCUGGGCCAACACUGACGCUCAUGCACGAAAGCGUGGGGAGCAAACAGG